rnacentral:rRNA from 1 species
AGUGGCAAGGUUAACCAUCUAGGGGAGCCGUAGGGAAACCGAGUCUUAACUGGGCGUUCAGUCUCUGGAUAUAGACCCGAAACCAGGUGAUCUAGCCAUGGGCAGGUUGAAGGUUGAGUAACAUCAACUGGAGGACCGAACCGACUAAUGUUGAAAAAUUAGCGGAUGACUUGUGGCUAGGGGUGAAAGGCCAAUCAAACCUGGAGAUAGCUGGUUCUCCCCGAAAGCUAUUUAGGUAGCGCCUCGGACGAAUACUAC